UACGGGGGGAGCAAGCGUUGUUCGGAUUUACUGGGCGUAAAAGGCGCGUAGGCGGCCACUGCAAGUCGGUUGUGAAAUCUCCGGGCUUAACCCGGAAAGGUCAAUCGAUACUGCAGGGCUAGAGUGCAGAAGGGGCAACUGGAAUUCUCGGUGUAGCGGUGAAAUGCGUAGAUAUCGAGAGGAACACCUGAGGUGAAGACGGGUUGCUGGGCCGACACUGACGCUGACAGCGCGAAAGCCAGGGGAGCAAACGGG
rnacentral:rRNA from 1 species